rnacentral:rRNA from 1 species
CCAAUAGCGUAUAUUAAAGUUGUUGCAGUUAAAAAGCUCGUAGUUGAAUUUCGGGGUUAGUAGAUCGGUCGUGCCACAGGUAUGUACUGGUCUCACUGAUUCCUCCUUCCUGAUGAACCGUAAUGCCAUUAAUUUGGUGUUGCGGGGAAACUGGACUGUUACUUUGAAAAAAUUAGAGUGUUUAAAGCAGGCUAACGCUUGAAUACAUUAGCAUGGAAUAAUGAAAUAGGACGUUCGAUCCUAUUUUGUUGGUUUCUAGGAUUGACGUAAUGAUUAAUAGGGAUAGUUGGGGGCAUUAGUAUUCAAUUGUCAGAGGUGAAAUUCUUGGAUUUAUUGAAGACUAACUACUGCGAAAGCAUUUGCCAAGGAUGUUUUCAUUAAUCAAGAACGAAAGUUAGGGGAUCGAAGACGAUCAGAUACCGUCGUAGUCUUAACCAUAAACUAUGCCGACUAGGGAUCGGAUGAUGUUAAUUUUUUAAUGACUCAUUUCGGCGCCUUACG